UAUCUAAGAAGUGCCCUGAUCAUGAAUAUGCAAAUUACUUGAGUCUAUGGUUGUAAAUACAAGGAUGUACAAUCCCCUCAACAACAUAUGAUCAGUGUCCUCUCCACACUCACUGAGCACACAGAUCCUCACCAUGGGAUGGAGCUGGAUUAUUCUCUUCCUCCUGUCAGUAAUUACAGGUGUCCACUCCCAGGUCCAGCUGCAGCAGUCUGGUCCUGGGCUAGGGAAACCUGGGUCCUCAGUGAAGUUGUCCUGCAAGGCUUCAGGCUAUACUUUCACUAACUAUGGUAUAAACUGGGUGAAGCAGAGGCCUGGACAAAGCCUGGAGUGGAUUGGAUUUAUUAAUGCAAAUGGUGGUACUGACUACAAUCAGAAGUUCCAGGGCAAGGCCAAACUGACUGUAGACAAAUCCUCCAGCACAGCCUACAUGGAGCUCAGCAGCCUGACAUCUGAGGACUCUGCGGUCUAUUAUUGUGCAAGAGACACAGUGUUGCAACCCACAUCCUGAGUGUGUCAGAAACCCUGGGGGAGCAGAAAGCUGCCCUGGGACUGAGAUGACAGAGAAGAUCAGCCUGGAGACUUGCUGAGAAAUAAUCAUUCAGAGUGUCCAUUAGUCUGCCAUUUUACAAUCUUUUAGGGUCUUUGUCAGCUUUUGAAAAGAACAUCAGAGAAUAAAGUGAUGCUGAUUCAGGAAUGUUAGAGUGCACCAUACCAUGAUCAGCUGUUUACUAGUGACCACUUCCCUUGACAUGAUUCCUUUUCAAUAAACUAAAAUAGUACAAAUUGUAGCAAUACAUUAUGAUAAAAAUAUCUCUUAAAUAUAAGGGACUGGAACUAUUGCUACAGUAUCUGGGAAUAAACUAUAGUAUAAAUUAGGCCAGUAAAAGAGAAAUCAACAGCAUAUGUACAAACAAAGCCCCUUUCAAAGUCCAAUUUGGUUUCCCUAAAACAAGAAA